UACGGGGGGGGCAAGCGUUGUUCGGAAUUACUGGGCGUAAAGGGCUCGUAGGCGGCCAACUAAGUCAGACGUGAAAUCCCCUCGGCUUAACCGGGGGAACUGCGUCUGAUACUGGAUGGCUUGAAUCCGGGAGAGGGAUGCGGAAUUCCAGGUGUAGCGGUGAAAUGCGUAGAUAUCUGGAGGAACACCGGUGGCGGAAGGCGGCAUCCUGGACCGGCAUUGACGCUGAGGAGCGAAAGCCAGGGGAGCAAACGGG
rnacentral:rRNA from 1 species